UCAUAUAAAGGAAACUGAAGUCUGUUUGUUCACAGGUUGGGUACAAUACAGGCAGGCAAAGAAUGAGUUUUCUUUUACUGACCCAUCUCUGACCUGAAACUUGAUUUGAAGGGAUCAUGUUUUAAGGAUAAAAGGCAAUUAGGUUUUCUUCCACAUGCCUCUGAUCUACA